rnacentral:rRNA from 1 species
UACGAAGGGGGCUAGCGUUGUUCGGAUUUACUGGGCGUAAAGCGCACGUAGGCGGUUUGUUAAGUCUGAUGUGAAAUCCCGAGGCUCAACCUCGUGACUGCAUCCGAUACUGCCCGACUAGAGGUAGGUAGGGGAGAUCGGAAUUCCUGGUGUAGCGGUGAAAUGCGCAGAUAUCAGGAGGAACACCGGUGGCGAAGGCGGAUCUCUGGGCCUUACCUGACGCUGAGGCGCGAAAGCUAGGGGAGCAAACAGG